GACGAACGCUGGCGGCGUGCUUAACACAUGCAAGUCGAACGGAAAGGCCCUGCUUUUGUGGGGUGCUCGAGUGGCGAACGGGUGAGUAACACGUGAGUAACCUGCCCUUGACUUUGGGAUAACUUCAGGAAACUGGGGCUAAUACCGGAUAGGAGCUCCUGCUGCAUGGUGGGGGUUGGAAAGUUUCGGCGGUUGGGGAUGGACUCGCGGCUUAUCAGCUUGUUGGUGGGGUAGUGGCUUACCAAGGCUUUGACGGGUAGCCGGCCUGAGAGGGUGACCGGCCACAUUGGGACUGAGAUACGGCCCAGACUCCUACGGGAGGCAGCAGUGGGGAAUAUUGCACAAUGGGCGGAAGCCUGAUGCAGCAACGCCGCGUGCGGGAUGACGGCCUUCGGGUUGUAACCCGCUUUCGCCUGUGACGAAGCGUGAGUGACGGUAAUGGGUAAAGAGGCACCGGCUAACUACGUG
rnacentral:rRNA from 1 species